rnacentral:rRNA from 1 species
GAUGAACGCUGGCGGCGUGCCUAAUACAUGCAAGUCGAGCGAACGGACGAGAAGCUUGCUUCUCUGAUGUUAGCGGCGGACGGGUGAGUAACACGUGGAUAACCUACCUAUAAGACUGGGAUAACUUCGGGAAACCGGAGCUAAUACCGGAUAAUAUUUUGAACCGCAUGGUUCACAAGUGAAAGACGGUCUUGCUGUCACUUAUAGAUGGAUCCGCGCUGCAUUAGCUAGUUGGUAAGGUAACGGCUUACCAAGGCAACGAUGCAUAGCCGACCUGAGAGGGUGAUCGGCCACACUGGAACUGAGACACGGUCCAGACUCCUACGGGAGGCAGCAGUAGGGAAUCUUCCGCAAUGGGCGAAAGCCUGACGGAGCAACGCCGCGUGAGUGAUGAAGGUCUUCGGAUCGUAAAACUCUGUUAUUAGGGAAGAACAUAUGUGUAAGUAGCUGUGCACAUCUUGACGGUACCUAAUCAGAAAGCCACGGCUAACUACGUG